rnacentral:rRNA from 1 species
UGGGGAAUAUUGCACAAUGGGCGCAAGCCUGAUGCAGCCAUGCCGCGUGUGUGAAGAAGGCCUUCGGGUUGUAAAGCACUUUCAGCGAGGAGGAAGGUGGUGAACUUAAUACGUUCAUCAAUUGACGUUACUCGCAGAAGAAGCACCGGCUAACUCCGUGCCAGCAGCCGCGGUAAUACGGAGGGUGCAAGCGUUAAUCGGAAUUACUGGGCGUAAAGCGCACGCAGGCGGUUUGUUAAGUCAGAUGUGAAAUCCCCGGGCUCAACCUGGGAACUGCAUUUGAAACUGGCAAGCUAGAGUCUCGUAGAGGGGGGUAGAAUUCCAGGUGUAGCGGUGAAAUGCGUAGAGAUCUGGAGGAAUACCGGUGGCGAAGGCGGCCCCCCUGGACGAAGACUGACGCUCAGGUGCGAAAAGGCGUGGGGGAGCAAAACAGGAUUAGAUACCCUGGUAGUCCACGCUGUAAAACGAUGUCGAUUUUGGAGGUUGUGCCCUUGAGGCGUGGCUUCCGGAGCUAACGCGUUAAAUCGACCGCCUGGGGGAGUACGGCCNCAAGGUUAAAACUAAAUGAAUUGC